UAAGCUAAGAAAGAAGCUACGAAAAAUAAAACGUGCUCAGCAACACGCUGCUUUUUGUGCGGAGUUUAACCCACAUUGCGACGCAGGAGGUUCAGAACUACUUAACUGGAACCGUCCAUCUUCAAGUGGUCUUUGUGCUUGUUGAAGCUUCGGAGCCUAGUUAUCUUGGUUUACCUUAGCUUAGCUUAGCUUAGCUUCCGAACAGGAAAAACGUGGUUCGUCGCUUGAAAAUCAAGUGGGAGCCUCCUAAAGUGUGCAAAAUGCGAGCAAGAAGGACGCCAGCCGAAAAUUUAGAGGCGGAACUUUGUGGUGCGAAACAUCAGCGACAACAUCAACUAUCGAAUGCUUGCAAAAUGCAAGUAAAAGUUGUUCUUCGCAGGCUACCAGAUCUAUAUGUCAGCCAAGACCAUCGUCCUGAGCACCAAGAGUCUGCAUGCAUCAAAGAGGAGGAAGAGUCCAGACCCAUCCAAGCUUUCGGAAAAUGUCUUUGUGCUGAGCGGCAGGAGCCAGAAUCUCCUGGCGUUAAAGAGCAUGUUGAGCUCCCCCAAAUCAAAGAGGAGGAGGAGCCAGAGCCCCAUCUACAGAAGCAACUUCCAAUCAAAAAGGAGGAAAAGGAGGAGCUGUCAUAUGUUAAAGACGAGGAAGGUAUCACCGGGGCAAUUGGUGAGCCCUUGAAGAGUGAAGAUAGUCUGAGUGAGGCCAGCAGAGGGGCAAAUCCUCCGAGUGGCGGCAGCAGCUUAACAGAAAGAUUGCAAGCAGACAUUUUCAUCGCUCGAUCAGAUAGAAAUGGCGGCAAGUCACACUCACCGUACAAUAAUGAUGGUUAUAAGAAAUCUCGCCGUGACGACAAACUCUGCAAAUGCUCUAAGUGUGGGAAAACCUUUGCUAAUAAGUAUACUUGUCGUACGCAUAUGAGGAGCCACACUGGUGAAAAACCUUUUUCCUGCUCAGCUGGUGGUCAAGGUUUUACUGAAAAGCAAAAUUUACAAAUACACAUAAGAACCGAAACUGGAGAAAAACCUUUUUCCUGCUCAGAUUGUGGUCAAAGAUUCAAUCGCAAGUCCACCUUAAAAAUACACGAAAGAACCCACACCGGAGAAAAACCUUUUUUCUGCUCAGAUUGUGGUCAAAGAUUCAAUCGCAAGUCCACCUUAAAAAUACACGAAAGAACCCACACCGGAGAAAAACCUUUUUCCUGCCCAGUUUGUGGCAAAAGAUUCACGCAAAACCAACACUUGAAAAAACACACAAGAACCCACACUGGCGAAAAACCUUUUUCGUGCUCAGUUUGUGGUCAAAGAUUCGCUCGAAAGCCAUACUUGGACAUACACACAAGAACACACACGGGAGAAAAACCUUUUUCCUGCACAGUUUGUGGUCAAAGAUUCGCUCAAAGGCAACACUUGAAAAUACACACAAGAACCCACACUAGCGAAAAACCUUUUUCCUGCUCAGUUUGUGGUCAAAGAUUCACGCGAAAGCCAAAUUUGGACAUACACACAAGAACACACACGGGAGAAAAACCUUUUUCCUGCUCAGUUUGUGGUCAAAGAUUCGCUCAAAAGACAUACUUGAAAAUACACACAAGAGCCCACACUGGGGAAAAACCCUUUUCCUGCUCAGUUUGUGGUCAAAAUUUCGCUCGGAAGGACUACUUAAAUCAACACACACGAACCCACACUAGAGACAAACCUUUUUCCUGCUCUUUUUGUGGUCAAAGAUUCACUCGCAAGUCCACCUUACACAUACACGAAAGAACCCACACCGGAGAAAAACCUUUUUUCUGCUCAGAUUGUGGUCAAAGAUUCAAUCGCAAGAGAGCCUUAAAAAGACACGAAAGAUCCCACACUGGUGACGAACCUUUUUCCUGCUCUUUCUGUGGUCAAAGAUUCAGUCAUAAGAACACCUUGCAAAUACACGAAAGAAUCCACGCCGGGGAAAAACUUUUUUCCUGCUCAGUUUGUGGUCAAGGAUUCACUCUGAAGGAUCAGUUGGAGAGACACAUGGCCAAUGAUAUUACAUUUUUGCAUCGUGGGAAAAUACUUUUUACUUUAAAAUCUUAAAGCGAGUACUUUUGUACUGAGAAUUUUUUUUUUCCACCUGUACACCAACUCAAAACUAUUUUAUUAUUUAGUCACAUUGGACUAUUAUGAACACAACCACCUACAGGGUCGGUUGUAGGCAGACCUGUAUGAGGGCAGUCAGAAAUGUGUAGGGGGCAUCAUAUGUUCAUAUCAUGCUCGCCACUUUCACACGUACUACCCGGUUUAUGCCUGGGACAUUUCCCCAUGUGUGAAAGCAGUGACACGGCUAAAUCCCGCGUCACUUUAUACUAAGUCUUCAGUCUUAAGGUGUCAUCCAGAUUUUAUAAACUAACAACAUACACUCACCGACCACUUUAUUAGGUACACCAUGCUAGUAACGGGCUGGACCCCUUUUGCCUUCAGAACUGCCUCAAUUCUUCGUGGCAUAGAUUCAACAAGGUGCUGGAAGCAUUCCUCAGAGAGUUUGGUCCAUAUUGACAUGAUGGCAUCACACAGUUGGUGCAGAUUUGUCGGCUGCACAUCCAUCAUGCGAAUCUCCCGUUCCACCACAUCCCAAAGAUGCUCUAUUGGAUUGAGAUCUGGUGACGGUGGAGGCCAUUUGAGUACAGUGAACUCAUUGUCAUGUUCAAGAAACCAGUCUGAGAUAAUUCCAGCUUUAUGACAUGGCGCAUUAUCCUGCUGAAAGUAUCCAUCAGAAGUUGGGUACACUGUGGUCAUAAAGGGAUGGACAUGGUCAGCAACAAUAAUCAGGUAGGCUGUGGCAUUACAACGAUGCUCAAUUGGUACCAAGGAGUCCAAAGAGUGCCAAGAAAAUAUUCCCCACACCAUUCCUCCACCACCACCAGCCUGAACCGUUGAUACAAGGCAGGAUGGAUCCAUGCUUUCAUGUUGUCGAUGCCAAAUUCUGACCCAACCAUCCGAAUGCAGAAAUCUGCUUUUUUCCAAUCUUCUAUUGUCCAAUUUCGAUUAGCUUGUGCAAAUUGUAGCCUCAGUUUCCUGUUCUUAGCUGAAAGGAGUGGCACCCGGUGUGGUCUUCUGCUGCUGUAGCCCAUCUGCCUCAAAGUUCGACAUACUGCGCAUUUAGAGAUGCUCUUCUGCCUACCUUGGUUGUAACGGGUGGUUAUUUGAGUCACUGUUGCCGUUCUAUCAGCUCGAACCAGUCUGGCCAUUCUCCUCUGACCUCUGGCAUCAACAAGGCAUUUCCGCCCACAGAACUGCCGCUCACUGGAUAUUUUUUCUUUUUCGGACCAUUCUCUGUAAACCCUAGAGAUGGUUGUGCGUGAAAAUCCCAGUAGAUCAGCAGUUUCUGAAAUACUCAGACCAGCCCUUCUGGCACCAACAACCAUGCCACGUUCAAAGUCACUCAAAUCACCUUUCUUCCCCAUACUGAUGCUCUGUUUGAACUGCAGGAGAUUGUCUUAAACCAUGUCUACAUGCCUAAAUGCACUGAGUUGCCGCCAUGUGAUUGGCUGAGUAGAAAUUAAGUGUUAACGAGCAGUUGGAGUGGUGUACCUAAUAAAGUGGCCGGUGAGUGUAUAUAUUAACUGGAUGACCUAAUGCUCAAAUAAAUUGGAACCUGAGAACUGAAAGGUAGUCUUAUAAAUAAUAUUGAAAAAAAUACUUUGUAAACUAAUUAGAUAUACUAACUAAACAGAACUUUUUUGGGGGGCGGGGGGGCUUUUUUUUUGUUAGCAAAAAAAUUGUUCAAAAAUCUCCCUUCACUCCACUCGACAACAAGUCUCCUACUUCCCUUUGCAAAAACUCACAAAUUUAUCCAUGUCCAAGUUGUUAAGGACUUCUCAUGGGCCAAGAUUAUCAUAUGUCUUCAGUCUGUCACUUGAAGUGGACACUGACUUAUUUCUGUGCUUGUUGUGACUAGUGUUGUUAAUCUUACUUUGAAAAAGUAAUUAGUUACAAAUGACUUGUCCCAAAAAGUAAUUGAGUUAGUAACUGUUACCUAAACCUAAGAGUACCGUAAUCGCCCGAAGAUUGCCCUGAUUAUAUGACGACCCCCUCUUUUUCAAGACUAAAGUUUGAAAAUACACUUUUUGAACACCAAAUUCAUUUUUAUACAGAAAAUAAUUACAUCUGAAAGUUCAAACAAAUGAUUAUAACAAUAUAUUUGAGAGAAAAAGCAUGUUAUUUUGCUUCAUUCAAAUCUUAAUAUCUGAACAUUUGAAUAUGUAAACUAAAGUGCAAUCACAUUCGUAAAUUAAUGGCUUCUGGUUUAUGAAAUAUAAAUAAACCAACCUACUGUGAUAAAACAACAAAAUUGCAAUAACUGCAUUAACCAUAAGGGGUUCGCUUUGGCCUGUGGAGUCAAAUUCAGCAUUCGCUUCAAUGAUAUCUGGCGCCAUCUAGCGUCGUGAAUGGGUAUAAUGUCUGGACCCCAAAUAUAAGACGACUCCUGCUUUUUCAGUCUUAUUUCAAUGGUAAAAACACCGUUUUAUAUUCGGGCCAAUACGGUAAUUAGUUACUUGGCAAAGUAACUGACGUUACUUUUCAUGUUCUUCACAUUAUUAUUAUUAUUAUUAUUAUUAUUUUAAUUUUAUCUUUACUUUAUCAGGCAGUCUCAUUGAGAUUAAUAUCUCUUUUACAAGAGAGGCCUGAGCACAAAGAAACAUUCACAAAUAUCAAACAAUUCGAAAUACACUAACGGAAACCGUUACAAUAAUCAGUACAAACAUCAGACAAAAGAGAUUUUAAAUCACCAAGAUGAAUGAUUGGCUCUAGUUUAAGAGUAGUUUGCAAUUCGUUCCAUUUAAGAGGAGCAUUUAAAGCCAGUUCUGCCACCAUUAGUGCAAGUGAAUGGAAUGUUUAGGGUUAAGUAGUUGGAUGAUCAUGUUUUGUAGUUACUGGAUUAGAAUGACAGGAGAGAUGUGAGGUAGUUCGGAAGUUUGCACAGUAAAGCCUUAUAAAUGAAUAACAUGAUAUGGAUAUUUCUUCUUGACUGUAGUGAGGACCAAACAACGUUUUGAUAAAGGGUACAAUUAUGAGUGUAGAAAUUGUCAUUGGUGAUGAAACGUAGUGCACUGUGAUAGACCGGGUUUAACUUUUGAAGAGUUGAUGGAGCUGCAUGACAGUACAGGAUGUCCCCAUAAUCGAGAACAGAAACAAAAGAAGAUAAUACAAUGGUUUUUCGGUUAGAAGUUGACAGCCUUUGAUUCUAUACUGGAAGCUAAGUUUAAAUUUAAGUUUACGGAUUAUAUGAUGAAUAUGACUUUUCAAUGAUAAAUUACUGUAAAUCCAAAUUCCUAAGUAUUUGUAUGAAUCAUUGAGAAUACCAUUUAGGGUUUUGAUUCCGGGUAAGUCAUUGUCAGUUAUAGUGGAAGUGGAGAAAACCAUGUAUUUAAUUUUUUCAGCAUUUAAAACUAAUCUGUGAUUAUGAAGAGAUAUUUGAAAGCUAUCAAAAGCAGUCUGUAAAUGAGUCAGAGCUAGUGAUGGGGAAGAACCGGGCACAUAUAGAAUACAAUCAUCAGCAAAAAAGUGGACAUAAAAUAUUGAUUAGGAAGAAAAAAUUAUUAAUGUAUAAUGUAAAAAGGAGUGGUCCAAGGACAGACCCCUGCGGCACGCCAUUUUUAAUAGUAAGUGGACUUGAUUGAACACCGUCAGAAGCAACAGUGUCGCGUUCUGCUGCUUGUCAGAAUUUGUUUUUCUUGCAGAGCCGGCUGUGGGGGCAUGCCGACGUCGCACCUGCAGCUAAUCCCUGCUCGUCAGCUACAGUAUAUAAACGCAGGCUAUCCGGGAGAAGAACGCCAUGAUAUUUCCCUAGCUGGUCGCCAUUAACACGUACUGCUUUCGAGUCGCUUUGUAUUUGCCUUCUAGUUCUUCGGACAUCUUAGUUUUUGAUCCCCUACCUUUUGCAGGUAUUGAGUGUAUUUUUGUUUGUCUUUUUGGCUCUCUGCCCUCCGCUCAGUUUUCGCGGUUUGAUCCCCGUUUGACCUAUUUGUCACGGACCCCUUUUGUUAUUCCCUUUUUACCGCGUUCGCGUGUUUUGUUUAUUUAUGAUCAAUAAAUCCCCGAAUGCUUCCCCUCUGUUGUCUGUUGUUGGGUUCAAUCUUGUUCUCCGCAUUCGCGGAUCCUGACAAACAGUUUGUAUUCUGUCUGUAAGGUAGGACUUAAACCAGUUGAGGACAUUAACGUCUAAACCUAUGGCCUGCAGUUUAUGAAGUAGAAUUUUAUGAUCAACGGUUGAAUGCUUUUGAAAGCUCAAUGAAAAGAGCAGCACAGAACUGUUUAUUAUCAAGAAAGGAGACAAUGUUAUUUAGGACAGAAACUGAAGCUGUAAUUGUACUGUGACCUGGGCGAAAACCAGACUGUUGCGGCUGAAGUAUGUUUGAAUGAAUGAAUGAUAAAAACGGAAGCUUGGAUA